GAUGAAGAACGCAGCGAAAUGCGAUACUUGGUGUGAAUUGCAGAAUCCCGUGAACCAUCGAGUCUUUGAACGCAAGUUGCGCCUCAAGCCAUUAGGUUGGGGGCACGUCUGCCUGGGCGUCACAUAUCGUUGCCUGAUGCCAGUUUCCUCGUGAUGGGUGACUGUGCAGGGCGAAUGAUGGCUUCCCGUGAGCAUUGUUGCCUCAUGGUUGGUUGAAAAUUGAGUCCUUGGUAGGGAGCGCCGUGAUAGAUGGUGGUUGAGUGACGAACGAGACCCAAUCAUGUGAGACCCCUACCGAAUUUGGCCUUCAUGACCCACAUGCGUCUUUGGAACGCUCAUGACGAGACCUCAGGUCAGGCGGGGCUACCCGCUGAGUUUAAGCAUAUCAAUAAGCGGAGGA
rnacentral:misc_RNA from 1 species